GGGCCCGCACAAGCGGUGGAGUAUGUGGUUUAAUUCGAUGCAACGCGAAGAACCUUACCAGGGUUUGACAUCUUGCGAAUCUCUUGGAAACAGGAGAGUGCCUUCGGGAACGCAGUGACAGGUGGUGCAUGGCUGUCGUCAGCUCGUGUCGUGAGAUGUUGGGUUAAGUCCCGCAACGAGCGCAACCCACGUCUUUAGUUGCCAGCAUUAGUUGGGCACUCUAGAGAGACUGCCGGUGAUAAACCGGAGAAGGUGUGGAUGACGUCAAGUCAUCAUGCCCCUUACAUCUGGGCUACACACGUACUACAAUGCUACGGACAAAGGGCAGCAAGUUCGCGAGGACAAGCAAGUCAUCCAAUAACGUGGCUCAG
rnacentral:rRNA from 1 species